GGGCACAUGGUGUAGUUGGUUAUCACGCCCGCUUAGCAUUAGCGUUUGCGGGCGGUCCCCGGUUCAAUUCCGGGUGUGUCCA